rnacentral:rRNA from 1 species
AUGCAGCUGCAGGCGCCGCCCUCGUGGGUGCCCGGGCCCGACCCCGCCCGCCCUGCUCCCACCACCUUCGACGAGGCGUCCAUGGAGCGGAGCAAGAGCUUCGUCAAGGCGCUCCAGGAGCUCAAGAACCUGCGCCCACAGCUCUACUCCGCCGCGGAGUACUGCGAGAAGUCGUACCUCCACAGCGAGCAGAAGCAUAUCGUGCUGGACAACUUGAAGGAUUAUGCUGUCAGGGCGCUGGUCAACGCGGUCGACCACCUUGGCACCGUUGCCUACAAAUUGACAGACCUGUAUGAACAACAGGUUUCAGAGGUCUCAACUGUCGAGCUGAAAGUAGCAUCCUUGAACCAGCAAGUCCUGACUUGCCAAACUUACACCGAUAAAGAAGGCCUUAGGCAGCAGCAGAUGAUCGGAAACGCCACAAGACACCACAAACAUUACAUCGUACCAACUGCGGGAAACAAAAGAAUGCAGGCCUUUUCUGAGAUGCAAACAGACGCCGAGUUUGACUUAAAGCCUAAACCUUAUCCCUCAGAGAAGACUCUUUUCUGGCACUUGGCUUCAGAGAAGAACACCAAAACCAAUGGAGAACACCAAUCUGAAUUGGGCCAUGGGGAAACGAAAACUACUAAGCCUACAUCCAGUGGUGGGUUCAACCUUACAGGUAAGGAAUUGUCCGUGUCUCCUUUGCCCAAGCGUCUGCAGUCGAAUGUGAGCAGCUCGGACAUUGUUACGCGUAACAUUGGCAUGAAGGAUCAGCCUGGUGCAAGGCAUUUGGCAUCAUUCAGUUCUCUCGACAACCCAAGAGGGCGUCAAAUCCAAAAGGCUCCCGUCCGCACCAAAAGUAUGCUAGCUGCUUUCUUUGUCAGGCACAGGUCCGGAAAGAUGAAAAACGUCUCUGUUCGUUGA